UGGCUGAGAAGAGGUAUCAGAACUGUUAGUGACCUAUUUGAAGGGGGUGUUUUCAUGUCGUAUGAGGAUAUUAAAAAAAAGUUUUGUUUAGAGGGUAACAGUCAUUUCUGGAAGUAUUUGCAAAUAAGAAACUGUUUAAAAGGAGGAGUUACAAUAACAUGUGAAAGUAACUCGAUAGAGAAUUUCAUGCUACUACCCCCAUUUCUGUGCACAGCUGCGAAAUGGUAUAAUAUUUGCCCAUGGAUUAAAAACAAUAUAAAUAAGAGCCUGAAAAAAGUAUGGGAAAGGGAUCUAGGGCGUACAAUGGAUGAAGAUACAUGGGAUUCUAUAUUGUCGAACAAUGGAUUAUACAUUAGGGAAGCCAGGGGAAAAUUUAUUCAAUACAAAAUUCUUAACAGAUACCAUUAUACUCCUUCAAGGCUGUAUAGAAUGGGGAUUGGUAGAGAUGACUUGUGUUGGAAAUGCCGAAAAAAACAAAGGUACUCUGAUACAUGCCCUCUGGGAAUGCCCGCUGGUUUUUCCAGUUUGGAACACUGUACUGAAUUAUUUGCAGGGGUGGACACUUUGUAACCUACCCAGAUCACCUAAAUUAUGUUUACUAGGAGACAAAGGAGAGGUGCCGCAAUUAAGUAAACACCAGUUUAGAGUGUUAAGUACUGCAUUGGUAACAUGUGCCCGUGUCAUUUUGGAACACUGGAAGGACUCUCAUAUUCCAACGCUUAAAAUGUGGAAAGACAGAAUGAUUGGGAAUGUUGCAUGCGAAAAGAUGCUGGGAAAAAUACAUCAUGUGACAGAAGCUGCGCUGGAACAGUGGGACAAUUUUUGCAACUACAUGUCUACCUGACUUGGACAUUUGAGUUUAAUACAACAUAUGUUAAAACCUCACUUGUUUUGUUUUGUUGUGUUUUUUUUUUUUUUUUUUUUGUUGUUGUUGUUUUUAAAUUUAUUUAUUUUGUUUGUUUGUUUUUGUUUGUUUGCUUCUUGCUUUUGGUUGUUGCAUCUCUGUAUUUGCUGUUAUAAAAUGCAAAAUCUAAUAAAUACUUGAAUUAUAAAAAAAAAAACAAUGCCCUGGAAGGUGAGUGAGACAAAAGGCUGCAUGUUAAGUCAUUUUACCCUCUUUCACAUGUAAUGAGAGAUAAACCAGGAGGCACUUCAAUUUUUUUUCAAACAUCCUGCCUCACUUGACAACACCAAAUAUUUGUUACAAUUUUAGCCCGACUGCUGUUUUAGACCCACCGAAACAUUCAUAAUUGCUCCUACCUGUCAGCAAUUAUCGUAAAAGUCUUUUAGCCACCAGUUUCGUAAUGUUGAUGAAAUCUUUUAUGACAAGGUUAAUGAGAUCCAUGGAGGGUGCCUGUGUUGGAUAAAACCAUGCCACUAGCACUGAAUGAUUGACUUUCUGAAUUCUAAGGACAGUUACACAGUUUGCAUUUCAGUGCACAGUGUAGGAAGCUGAGUAGUUAUAGCUAUUCUUUAACCAUUUUAAUGAAUGCUGAUUUAAAUACGACAUAUGUAACACUUGGUGGGCAUGUGGAAAUUCACAGAUACAGAUAUCUUUAUUUUGUGAUCAUGCUUACAGCUUA
ensembl:lncRNA